rnacentral:rRNA from 1 species
AGUGAACGCUGGCGGUAGGCCUAACACAUGCAAGUCGAACGGCAGCACAGUAAGAGCUUGCUCUUACGGGUGGCGAGUGGCGGACGGGUGAGGAAUACAUCGGAAUCUACUUUUUCGUGGGGGAUAACGUAGGGAAACUUACGCUAAUACCGCAUACGACCUACGGGUGAAAGCAGGGGAUCUUCUGACCUUGCGCGAUUGAAUGAGCCGAUGUCGGAUUAGCUAGUUGGCGGGGUAAAGGCCCACCAAGGCGACGAUCCGUAGCUGGUCUGAGAGGAUGAUCAGCCACACUGGAACUGAGACACGGUCCAGACUCCUACGGGAGGCAGCAGUGGGGAAUAUUGGACAAUGGGCGCAAGCCUGAUCCAGCCAUACCGCGUGGGUGAAGAAGGCGUUCGGGUUGUAAAGCCCUUUUGUUGGGAAAGAAAAGCAGCAGGUUAAUACCCCGCUGUUCUGACGGUACCCAAAGAAUAAGCACCGGCUAACUUCGUG